UAUACCUAAAACAAUGAAAGCCCUACCUCUCUUCCAUCCUUACGGCUCCUUGUCCGUGCCAGUGUGAAUCGGUAUUACAAAUAUCAA
rnacentral:sRNA from 1 species